rnacentral:rRNA from 1 species
CGUAGGGGGCUAGCGCUGUCCGGAUUUAUUGGGCGUAAAGAGCGCGUAGGCGGCUAGGUAAGUCCGACGUGAAAUCUGGAGGCUCAACCUCCAGCGGUCGUUGGAAACUACUUGGCUAGAGUCCGGAAGAGGAGAGUGGAAUUCCUGGUGUAGCGGUGAAAUGCGCAGAUAUCAGGAAGAACACCGAUGGCGAAAGCAGCUCUCUGGGACGGUACUGACGCUGAGGCGCGAAAGCGUGGGGAGCGAACAGGAUUAGAUACCCUGGUAGUCCACGCCGUAAACGAUGGGUGCUAGGUGUGAGCGGUGUCGACUCCGCUCGUGCCGAAGCUAACGCAUUAAGCACCCCGCCUGGGGAGUACGGCCGCAAGGCUA